rnacentral:rRNA from 1 species
AUAAAAAACCAACGCGGUUCGCCGCUCCCUUGGUGAUUCAUAAUAACUUACGAAUCGCAUGGCCUUAUGCCGGCGAUGCCUUCAUUCAAAUAUCUGCCCUAUCCAACUUUCGAUGGAAGGAUAGAGGCCUACCAUGGUUUCAACGGGUAACGGGGAAUAAGGGUUCGAUUCCGGAAAGGGAGCCUGAGAAACGGACCACAUCCAAGGAAGGCAGCAGGCGCGCAAAUUACCCAAUCCCGACACGGGGAGGUAGUGACAAUAAAUAACGAUAUAGGGCUCUUUUGGGUCUUAUAAUUGGAAUGAGUCCAAUUUAAAUCUCUUAACGAGGAACAAUUGGAGGGCAAGUCUGGCCAGCAGCCGCGGAAUUCCAGCUCCAAUAGCGUAAUAUUAAAGUUGUUGCAAGUUAAAAAGCUCGUAGUUCAACUUCCAGACCUGGCUGGGCGGUCCGCCUAACGGUUUGUACUGUCUGGCUGGGUCUUACCUUCUUGGUGAGCCGGCAUGCCCUUACUGGGUGUGUC